GACGCCCCCUCCUCCCUCGCGACGCCGCCUCCCCCGACACCCUCCGCCCCAACUCGCGGCCCUUGGGGCGCCGGAUCGGGCCCUCGACCCCAACGCCCGGCCCCGACGCGCGGCCCUCGGGACGCCGCCCCGCCCCGACGCGCGGUCCUCGGAACGCCGCCCCGCCGCGACGCAUGGACCUUGGGGUGCAGGCCGGGGUAGGGCGCGCACGCGCCAUGGAGGCCCUCCUCCCUCCCUCCUCUGGAGCUCGGCAAUCUGCACGAGCAGGUCGGGCGCCGCCGGCCUGGAUCUGUGCGAGCUCCUCGCCGCGGAGCAGGAACUGGUGGCGGCGCGAUCUCCCUGGUGGCGGCGCAUCCCUCCCUCCGCGCGGCAUGGAGCCGGCGCGCUCCCUCACGGAGGUCUUCCUCGACCUCAACCUCGCCGUGCCCGCCUCAGCCUCGCCGCGCUGCUCGCCGCCGACACGCAGGACGCGAAUCCGCGGAGCGGCGAAGAGGUGCGCGUGGAGCUGCAGCGGCACCUCCGUGGCACGCGCACCGUCUCCCGCGCCUGCUCGCCGUCCGCCUGCCCCGCCUUUCGCCGUCCGCGCUCAUCUUUGGACGGAGGGUGCGGACAGGGAAGCGGCUGCUGGGCGCUGGGCAGCGAUGGCCUCAUCUCUGGGCGGAGGUCCAAUCUCUCGAUCGCAGCAGUUGGUUUUCUACAAAAUCUGCGCCUAUCCCACUCCCUACCUUCUCAAUCAUGGCCACUUGCACUGCCCAGUCAGUGCCCAUCUUACUCUCUCCCGGAUCCAUGACAUGAUGUUCGAAUUUUAAUCAUCUGCGAGUGCAAGAGGUCAGGUGCGAGAGGAGCCAGAAGCGAACUUGCCCCCGCAACUGUGACGCUGCAGUUGGAGGUAGCGACCCAGUCCCCUUGACUCUGAUGCUACAGUGGAGAGGUACUCCGCCUGCACUUGGAGGUCGGUCCAUAGCAAGCCCGGAAAGUGGAUGCCAGUUGUUUCAAUAUGCUUAUCAUGGUUACGUGAUUGAUCCAGUAGAAUCUUGACGGUGUUACUGAUAGAGUGAUUUGAAGCUACUAUGAUAAAGCUUGAACAAACAUUCUUGCCUGGGAAAUCCAAAAUGUUAUAACCGAAUCUAUACAUAUUCUUUGCAGCAACGAUUUCUCACUGUUAUUAUUCUCUUCCUUGAAUAAUAUACAGGAAAUCACAAUCUUGGAACCUUGACAGAUAAGAGUUGGACCCUGCUUCGGGGAGAUCUGUUGAGAAUGGAGGAGGAUUUCCAAGAGUGGUUGGAGACUACAUGCUCCAGGUGAAGUAAAUUUGAUGCCUUCCUAAUUUCAUGGGUUUCAUAUUGAGUACUGUGAAGCUUGGGUUUUCCAUGUAUGAUUUGUUUUUGGAAGAAAGACUGGAAUGCUUCAUAGUUCUGAAGCAUGACGUCGUAGCUGAGCAGGUCAAGGUCCUGGAAAGGUUCAGGACAUUGCAUCGCACUAUGGUUUUUUUGUGAGGUGUGAAGUUCCUGCUGGUUAGAUUUAUACACAUGAUAUUUGUUUGGUAAAGUGGUACUGUCUUCAGGAAACAACUGAACGGUUUGCAUACUAUGCCAUGGGCAGAAUGUCACAUGUUAUUGUCGAUCAUCUAUGGGAAAAAAAUCAAUGAAAAAAAUGCCAAUUUCUCUACUUAUCAUGGUUUAAUCUGUGUGCAAUUUAUUGGUUCCAUGUUGAAAUGGAAAUAUGCUUGUAUAAGAAAUUUGCCACUGAAUUUAACUUAUUCAUAUUAUACUGUGAAGCACUGGAGCUUUUGAUAUAAUAAGAAAUAAGCUAGAAAGGACUAGAGGAGAGCAGGACAUUGGCACAACAACAGAGGUCAAGAUGUUGUCAACUUAUUCUGUUCUACCAUGGUCUCCACUGGCCUUGGAAAGCAGAGGACCAUUGAUGAUGGCAGUACUGAUGGCUGGCAAUAGAUAGUUUUAGUCAAGUUUUCUUUUUGGAGUAAAAAUUGUAGUUAACUGUUCUUUUUCAUGCCAUGGUGAUGAGAGAUUGUAGUUCCUGCCCUGUCAGAUGAUUUCAGUGAGUAAAUUAGGUCUUCUUACUGGUUCUGAGAAAACACGCUCGUGUUCUGUUGUGCUUCCGAGAUUCUUUUGGCAUCGCAAAAACGUGCCGGCGCAUAUACUAUCUUGUUCUGCUCAUUUA